UCGAGCGGACAGAUGGGAGCUUGCUCCCUGAUGUUAGCGGCGGACGGGUGAGUAACACGUGGGUAACCUGCCUGUAAGACUGGGAUAACUCCGGGAAACCGGGGCUAAUACCGGAUGGUUGUUUGAACCGCAUGGUUCAAACAUAAAAGGUGGCUUCGGCUACCACUUACAGAUGGACCCGCGGCGCAUUAGCUAGUUGGUGAGGUAACGGCUCACCAAGGCAACGAUGCGUAGCCGACCUGAGAGGGUGAUCGGCCACACUGGGACUGAGACACGGCCCAGACUCCUACGGGAGGCAGCAGUAGGGAAUCUUCCGCAAUGGACGAAAGUCUGACGGAGCAACGCCGCGUGAGUGAUGAAGGUUUUCGGAUCGUAAAGCUCUGUUGUUAGGGAAGAACAAGUACCGUUCGAAUAGGGCGGUACCUUGACGGUACCUAACCAGAAAGCCACGGCUAACUACGUGCCAGCAGCCGCGGUAAUACGUAGGUGGCAAGCGUUGUCCGGAAUUAUUGGGCGUAAAGGGCUCGCAGGCGGUUUCUUAAGUCUGAUGUGAAAGCCCCCGGCUCAACCGGGGAGGGUCAUUGGAAACUGGGGAACUUGAGUGCACAAGAGGAGAGUGG
rnacentral:rRNA from 1 species